UAUUUGAUAGGGUUAAUCAUUUAACCAAUUCAUGUCGAUAUGCAAUGCAUAUAUAUAUUUCUUAAAUAGGCACGAGUAUGGUAAAUACUUAACGAUCAUCAAAUGAGCAUGUCCCAGACUUACUCAAUUACGUAUUCCUAUAUGGAACACUCACCUAGUCAAACAAGGGCAAUAGGUUCAAUUUGAAGUUCAAGCGUCCUCUGUCGGAUCCUCUUAAAGGUCCUCGCGUGCGCCUGAACGAAUAAUAAUAGUCUAUCAUUUACAAUUCCUACUAUUGUUGAAAAUCGUGUCAUAGUACAAAUUUAGGAAAAAUCUCGUGAACAAGUCUUAAUUAUCCUAAAUCUAAAUUCUCAAGCGGGGUUUCAAGGUACAAGAGAAAUUAAGUCUACAUCAUGAAAUUCAAGGAUAAGACAUUUGAAUAUUAUCGAAGGAAUAAGGAGUACUUGAAAAACUCCAUUUCCUUGGAAUACGGAAAAUUUCAGUUUUGAUGCAAUACUUUGAAAAAUCGUAGCUCACCUUUUACAUGUCAAAGAUUGGAAAACUUGCUACCGUUGGAAACUUCCUUCAAAAUGCUAAAAGUUCCUAGAAUACACUUUUUCAUGAUUCUAAAUGGAAGAUAGUCAAAAUGGGCUCAAAGUUACUGUUUUGGUUCAUAAGGCAGAUUUAAGUUAGUUUUUGGCCAACUUUGGAAAUUCGGAAAAAUUCACUUGUUUGGAAAUAGCUUUUGAAAUUUGCAACUCUAUUAGUGUUGUAAUUCAAGAGUAUAACAAAACAAACGGAAUGAGGAACGGAGUUUUGAGCACCAAGAUACGGUAGCUCAAAGUUACUAAAAUUUUCUUGUUAAACAAGGGUUUUCCAAAAUCAAGUCUCGAACUUUGGUAAUUUAUUUGACCCAUGAAUCGGUCUCGGAAUAACACCAUAAUUAGCAGUAUAAUACUACCACAUAAGUGUUGUUCCUCUACCAAAUUUCAUGGAAAAAUAACUUCGGAAAGGUGGUCAAUCAAACACCUAAAAUUUCGCAAAUACUAAGACAAAACUGCCUUGAACCUUUUGUUUUUCCAUUUCAGACAUUUGGUCAAAGAAAAUUCCUCCAAACCUGGUUCAUUUGUUUAGGCAAAACUUAAAGAACGUUCAUGGUGCAUUUGGUAAGUGUUUAGCAUCAAAAUAUUCAGUUAGCAAGUCUUUGCCAAACCUUGCAUCAAAUCUGUCUAAAAAAUCAGGGUUUUCAAGGACAGAGCAGGUUUCAUAUUUUGAUCACAGAUCACUCAAAUUAGCUUGGAAUUUGGCAUGGUUUAAGGUGUUGGAAAACACCUUCAUAGAGCUAUAAUUUCACAGAAGAAAUCAUUUUGAAAUUCGGCACACAACUAGCUCGAAUUCGAGUCACAAGUUACAGCCUCAGCAUUUUGUUCUUGUAAAGCAGAGAAACAGAACAGCCGACUUAAAAUAGUUGGUUUGGCUCACAUACAUGGAACCAGAAUGUGAAUUUUAUAUCGUCGGAAAGGUUGGAAUAUCUAGUUUCAAAUGCCACUGACGGCACUCGAUUUCGACAUCAGAGUUCAAAAUUAUGGCCGAAAUACGAAAGCUGGUCAGAGCAUUUCGAAAAUAGUUCCAGAUUUACUAGCUUUGUUAAAUCGAUUUAUUUGACCAACCAAACCUCGAUAUUUUUCAAUGAAACUUUGUACACCAUAUAUUCAACAUAUCAACAUGAUAUACAAGUCAUGAAACUCUCAAAAUUUUGCAAAAAGGGUUGCGAUUAAAACAGGGCAAAUCUGAACAUUUUUGAACGAUGCAUCUUUUGGAGUCUAGACUAGCUAGGUAUCAUUAAUCUACCUAUUUAAACACUAAACUAGCAUUAUAUCCAUCAUCAAUCCAAGGGUGGGAGUUCAUAGAGCUCACCAUCAAAAUUUUCCGACAUGAAAUAAAACAAAUAACAUGUAAUUUUGGCAAAUAAUUCCACCACAAUAAAUCUGUCAUCGGCUAAACAGAAUUUCCAGUAGCUAAUUGGUCAUAAAACCAACUUUUUACUCGGCUAAUACAUGAUAUUAAGUACUCAAAUCCGACAAGCAAAUACUUGACUAGCUAAUCAGAUCAUCCAAGUCAUUGUGGGAAUUCAUAGAGCCCACUCACCAAGUUUCCAUUAAAACUCAAAAGAGCCACCAUCGGCUAAGCUGGAAAAAUUGCAGCAAAUAGAUAGUUUGGUAUACGAACCUUUCCCUAACAAAAUUCAUUACUUUGUUCACCCAAACUCAGCAUGCAUACAGUGAUUAUUGUGUUAUGAGUAUAUUGAACUGCAAUACGAAAUUUUGCAGCCAAGGUUUGAAGAGAAAAACUGGAAAUUCUUUCUUUCCCUCUCUCGGCCAACUCAACAGAUUUCCAGCAAUUAGAUUGGUCAUAAAUCCAACUUUUCCUUUGGUUAAUUCAUGGUAUUAGGUGCUAAAAUAUAACAUGCAAAUACUUAACUAGCUAAUCAAUAUUUCUAGUUCAAAAUCGGAUUCAAACAACAGCCAUAACCAUCCAAGAAAACCAGAAAUUCUGUUUGCUACCUUCGGAUGAGCUUGCAUGCGGCCAGAUUGUUUUUCAUUCUUAUUUUUCUAGCAUAACCGAUCCAAGGGGCUGCAUGCAGAGCUUAAUUACCUUGAUCUUAAUUAGUUAAACGCAUCUAUCAGCUCACACUACUACAAAGAGACAGAAUUAAAUCUACAUUUCCCAAAUCAGUUCCUCGGCAGAAAUGUUUUGCCCAACAGAAUUUUCUACUGCUUUGGGUUUCAUCAUCUGAUUACACAAAUUAACACAUGCAAGGCCACGGCUGACUUAAAAUACCUCUGAUCAUCCACAAUUUUAUUCCAGAAAAUUUACCUCAAAGCAAGCUGAGCUCACACACGAAAAUCUGAAAAAUUUCUGCUCCCUCUCGGCUCUCACACACACUGGUUGGUCCUGUGCUCGGUUUGCAGCUGGAAAUGGUGUUGUGGUCAAGAUGGUUGCAACUGGGAAAUGUUGGUCUGGAAUGAACGAAGAUGGUGAUGAUCAGCAGCUUCGCCGACUUCCACUUGCCCUCCCCUCUCUAUCCUCUAGCUCGGACAGAACCAGAAAUGGUUGCAGCUCGCGGCUUCUUCCCUCGAUCGUGAAGUGCGACUCUCCCUCACUCUCUCCCUUUGUCGACAAUGGUAAGGCAGAGUGAAAUGUAGUUGUGGUUUGAAAUGUGAAGUGGAAAAGAAAUGAAGAGGGUGCCGUGGUUUAGGAGAUGGUUGAGUGUGGAAGUUGGUUUACGUAUAGAAUUGGUGAGGUUUUGAUUGGUCAAUUGGGGCGGUACUGAAUUGGUGAGGUUGUGAUUGGUC
rnacentral:lncRNA from 1 species